rnacentral:lncRNA from 1 species
CAUCCCAUAGCAGAACCUCAGUUCAAGUCCCAGCUACUCUUCUUCUGAUAAUGCUUCUUGGUAAUGCAUCCUGGGAGGCAGCAAAUAAUGGCUCAAAUUCAUGGGACCCUGCUACCCAGUUGAGAAACCUGGGUAAAGUUUCAAUAUUCUGGCUUUGUCCUGAUCUAGCGCUUCCUGAGAGAACCAGCAGAUGUAAAGCCAAUCUUUCUCUGCUUUUCAAGUAGAUGAAUAUAAAUAAAUACUUAAAAACAUCUUUUUUCCUCAUAUUCUAUUUCAUGUCUCAUAAAAUUUGCACAGUAUUAAUCAUGGUAUAAAUGCGAGGUUUUAGCACUUUUUAAAGCUUAAGAUUUUAUUGAGUACUUUUCUAUUUUUACAGGAAUGAAGAACCUUUAAAAAGCCCUUACUGUAAUUAAAAAUAAAGAAAUUUCCAGUUUUCAGUUAUGUUUACUCAGUCCUGGUAUACUAUCUGUUACCUGCAGCCAUUUAGAUCAAUUGACUGUAGAAUUAUGUUCUUGGGUGUGCUGAAUGCAGGAGUUCUGACUCCAUUAAGAGUUAUUCUCACAGAGUUUGCUAGAUGCCUCUUUUUCUGGGGAUAUCAAUAAGGUACAAGGUUAUUAUGGUUUCCAAGAGGGUAGGUGAGUGCUUCCUGUGAGGUAGACGAAAUUGUGAAUUCCAUCUUUCAGAAAAGAAUAUAAAAUCACAACUCUGGAUCUACGUUAAGAAUAGAUUCAUCAUUAAUUAUGGGAAAAUUAUAAACAAUUAGACUGAAGGAAUAUCCAGAACAGUGCCAAAAAAAAUCGUCUAUUUGUGUUUACAGCAUCCGAAGGAGGAUUAACAGAAAGGUCCUAAAGUGCAGAUUACUGUUCUCUUCUCUGUCAUGAAGCUUUACAUGAUUCUAUUCUGUAUGUUUAUACCCCAGGUUGGAGGAGAAGAGAACUUUCUCAAAUAUGUUCUAUGUAUGUAUUUCACAAAUCAGGAAAUAUUUAAAAAAUUGCACAAAAUUAUGAAAAUAAUAAUCCAGGACAAAUUUGAAAGUGUAAUUAAAUGUCAGCACUGUGAUGAUAAACUGAAUUUUAGUCCUGGACCUGCUCCUUUGUAGUUGUGGAACCACAAGCCAAGUAUUUAGGGUCUCUCACCUCCAUUUCUUCAUCUAGUAAGUGGGGAUAAUAGAGGUACCUAUCUUAUACAAUUGCUUGAUGAUUGAAUGAGUUUGUGUAUGUAAAGUACUAGAGCAUUAUUGUAUGCAGAGAAUGUACCAAUAUUAAAAUUCUUAUGUUAAAAACUGGCUACUUAUCAUUUGUAUAUAAUUUUGUUUUGUUGGGGAAUAGUCCGUGGUGGCAUUGCUAGGUGGAGGUUUUUAGUUUCAGUUUUGAAUGGGGGCUUUCCUACGGGCGGGGCUCUCCGGAGGCGGAGGGAUGGAGGUCGUGGUAAACAACAAGAUGGAGGACCCCCGCAGUGAGUCUGCCUGCCUGCCUGCUGCGUGACACCUCACCUGAUUGGCCGAAGGACGCAUGCCCUUCACGUGAACAGAGAC